rnacentral:ncRNA from 1 species
CUGUUACAACGGCUUCCUGGCGUGACGGCAAAACUUUAAUGGAGCG